UUAUGGUUUGUAGGGCAUGACUCCCUAGACCCCUUAGGUAGGAAUUUGGGCAAAAUAAAAAAUCAGAGCUUAGUCAUCAACUGUAUCCGGGCAGCCUGCCUUCAGAAGUCCAGAUGAACUCAGAUGAGCAAGCUGGACUUUCUCAAUUCCUUCUAGAGCCUGAAACUCAAAACCCAGAGACCCUUGAAGAGAUCCAGUCCUCUUAGCACCAGCAAGAAGCCCCAGCACAGCUUCCACAGCUCCCUGAGGAGGUAGAACCUUCUUUAACCCAGCAGGAGUCCCCAGCUCUGCCUUCACAGUCCCUUGAGGGGGUCGCUCUUCUUCAACAGAGCAGGAGUCCCCAGCACAGCAGCUACCUCCCUCUGAAGAAAUUGUAGCUCAGCCAUCAAUACAUCAUGAGGUAAAUGUCCCAUUUAAAAGUUGGAGUGAAGCUCAGCACUCACACUUGCCCAAUGUCAAGCCAGGAACAGGCUGCCUCUCUGCCUCCAGAGCACCCCAAGGAGGUCAACUCUUCCUCAGCCCAAUUAAAGGCCCCAGCUCAGACAACAGAGUUCCCUGAGGAGAUGAAACCUUCUGCAACUCAGCAAGGGACUCCAGCUGAGCCUCCAGGUCCUCCUGUGGAGGUUGAACCUUCCCCCAGUGAGCAGGAGCAGCCAGUUCAGCCUUGUGAGUUUCCUAGGGGAGUUGAACCUUCUCAGACCCAGCAGGAGGCCCCAGCUCAGCUCCAGAGUCUAUGGAGGGUGCAGUUCAAACUCCACUGAAUCAUGAGGUGACAGUCCAACUUCCAGGCGAGGAUCAAGCUCAUUAUAACUUGCCCAAUGUUACAGUUAAACCUGCGGAUGUGGAUAUUGCCAUAACUUCAGAGUCUGCCAAGAAGACUGAAUCUUCUCCAGCCCAGCAGGAGGCCCCAACCCAGUCUCCAGAGGAGGUGGAAACUUCUGCAACCCAAGAGGAGGCCACAACUGAUCCUCCAGGUCCUCCUGUGGAGGCUGACCCUUCCCGCAGUGAGCAGGAACAGCCAGCUUAGCCCUCUGAGUCUUCUGGGGAGGUUGAAUCUUCUCCAGCCAAGAAGGAGACCCCAGCUCAGCCUCCAGAACAUUAUGAAGUUACAGUUUCACCUCCAGGUCACCAUCAAGCUCAGCAUUCCGGUUUGCCCAAUGUCACUGUUAAGCCUCCAGAUAUGCAGCUCACCAUAGCAACAGAGCCUACUGCAGAGGUGGGAACUUCUCCAGUCUACCAAGAGGGUACAGCUCAGCUCUCAGGGCCAGUUAAUGAUGUAGAACCUUCUGCCACCCAGCAUGGGGGCCCACCUCUGCCUCCAGAGUCAUUGGAAGAGGCUGGGCCUUUACCAGUUCAACAGGAGACUUCAGUUCAGUCUCCAGAACCUAUUAAGGAUCAGAACCCCUCUGCAGCCCAGCAGGAGGCUGAGCAUCCACAGACCCCUGAGGAGGUUGAGUCUUCUCUAACCCAGCAGGAGGCCCCAGCUCAGACUCCAGAGCUCCUUAAUGAAGUUGUAGCUCAAUCUCCAGAGCAUCAUGAGGUAACAGUUUCUCCUCUAAGUCAUGAUCAAGUUCAGCCUCCAACAUUGUACAAUGUCACUGUUAAACCUGUGGAUCACAUGGUUACCAUGACUCCAGAUUUCACUAAUCAGGUUGAAAUUUUAACCCAACAGGGGGACCCAGGUCAGCCCUUAGUGUCCCCUGAGCAGUUUCAACAUUUGAAACACCAGCAAGAGAUUAUAGUUCAGCAGCUAAAUAUCCCGAAAAUGAUGAACUUCCUCCAGUCCAUCAAGAGCCCACAACUCAGCUUCCAGUCGAGCUCUCUUCAGACUUUGAAAGUUCAUUGAAUGAUGGGAUGAUAUUUUCACCUCUAGAUCUGUCUUCAAUAUUCAGAAGUAAUUCAACUUUGCCUAAUACCACAGUUAAAAAUGUGGAUAUGGAGCUUCCCAUACCUUCAGCAGUCACUAUGGAGGUUGAACCUUCUCCAGUCCAGCAAGACAACCCUCCUAUUCCCACUGAGCAGGCUGACUUUUCUCUAGCCCAGCCUGAUCUGCCUUCCCCACCUCUGCAUUCUCCUGAAAAGAUUGAACCUCCAGUCCAGUAAGAGGCCACAGCUCAGACUCCAGAUACCCCUAAGAAGGUAGAACCUUCUCCAGUCCAGCAAGAGUUCAAGCUGAGUCACCAGAGGCCCCUAAGGAGGUUGAACCAUGUGCAACCCAGCAGGAAGCCUCAGGUCAUCCUCCAAAGUCCACUGAAGAGGUCACUCCUCCACCGCAGCAGGAGAUAUCAGCUCAGCCAUCAGAGCCACCUAAGAAGGUCGAACCAUCUCCAGUCCUACAGCAGCCCCCAACUCAGCUUUUAGAGCCAACUAAAGAGGUAGAAUCCUCUCCAGUCUAGCAGGCAGGCCCUGCUCAGUCUUCAGAGCCCCCUAUGGUGACAGAACCCUCUCUGACCCAGCAGAUAGCCCCAUCUUUGCCUCCAGAGUUCCCUCAGGAGGUUGGACCAUAACUAACUCAGCAGGAGGUUCCAGCUCAGAUUCCAGAGCCCUCUAUGGAGGCAGAACCUUCUCCAACCCAGCAGGAGGCCACAGUUCAGGUUCCAGAGCCCCCUAAGGACAUAGAACUUUCAAGCCAGCAGAUGGUCCCACUUCAGCUUCCAUAGCCACUUAAGGAGGUUGCAGCUCAACAUCCAGCUCACUAUGAGGUGACAGUUCCAACACAAGGGCAGGAUCAAGCUCAGCACUCAAUAUUAGCCAGUUUCACAGUUCAACCUUUGGAUCUGGGGCUUACCAUCACUCCAGAAUCCAUGACAGACGUUGAACUUUCUCCAACCAUGCAGGAGACCCCAACUCAGCCUCCUAAGAAAGUUGUACCCCAACUUCCAGCAUAUCAAGAGGUAACAGCCGCAACACCAGGUCAGGAUCAAGCUCAGCAUUCAAUGUCACCCAGCAUUACAGUUCAACCUAUGCACCUGGGAGUUACCAUAAGCCCAGAAUCCAGUACAGAGGUUGAACAUCCUACACCCUUGAAGAAGACUAUAGUUCCUCCAAACCACCCUAAGGUGACACUUCCACAUCCAGGCCAUGUUCAGACUCAGCAUUCAAACCUGACUCAAGCCACAGUUCAACCUUUGGAUCAGGGGCUUACCAUCACUCCAGAAUCCACUACAGAGGUUGAACCUUCUACAGCUCUGACGACUACAUUUUCUUCUCCAAAACAUCCUGAGGUGAGACUUCUACCUUCAGACAAGGGUCAGACUCAACUCACAAUUCAACCUUUAGAUCGGGGGCUUACCAUCACGCCUGAAUCCACUACAAAGGUUGAACCUUCUACAGCCCUGACGACUACAGCUCCAGCUCCAAAAUGCCGUGAGGUGACAUUUCCACCUCCAGACAAAGGUCAGGCUCAGCAUUCAAGCCUGACUCAACUCACAAUUCCAUCCCUUACCAUAACUACAGAGCCUACUAGAGGUUAAACUGUCUGCAACCAUGGAGGAGACCUCAUAUGCCUGAUGAUCUGCAGUCUGAUCUUCAUCUACAUUUUGACCCUUACUUUUGAGGUGAAAAGCUAAGCUAGGGCCUGGUUCUGGUCCCAGUCUAGCAUUGGAACCACUUCUAGGAACGUUUCUUGCUGAGUCAGCUUGUCAUACAGAUCAUGAUCUGCAUUUUGAACCUACUUUUGUGGUGAAAAGCUCAGGUAGGGCCUGGUUCUGGUCCCAGUCUAGCAUUGGAAACACUUCUAGGAACGUUUCUUGCUGAGUCAGCUUGUCAUACAGAUCCUGGUCUACAUUUUGAACCUUACUUUUGAGGUGAAAAGUGAAAGGCAAUGGAAGGGUGCCACGGACAAAAACGGUCGAGAGGCAGUGCAAAGAAGGCAAAAGUUCCUUUAUUAAGCUCUCAGGCGAGGUUCACUGGUCCGCAGGGGAGGGCCAGGGAAGUCGCAUUGUGUUGGAGGUGCAGCACGCUUAUCUGGACACUAGGUGAGGUAGGGGCGGAGUUGGGGUGGGGCAAGGGAGGAGUUAGUUAGGUUUCGUUUUCCUGAGUGUGACGCGCCUUAGUGGGCACGUGUGCUAGCCGGGAUGGCAGGAACCGGGGGAAGAUGAACCCGGAAAUGCUGAGUCAGGGUGGCCUAGAUGGUUGCCUGUCGCCAUCUUGGGACCUUCAACGGAGUCCAAACAAAAAGCUAAGCUAGGGCCUGGUUCUGGUCCCAAUCUAGCAUUGGAACCACUUCUAGGAAUGUUUCUUGCUGAGUCAGCUUGUCAUAUAGAUCCUGGUCUACAUUUUGAACCUUACUUUUGAGGUGAAAAACUAAGCUAGGGCCUGGUUCUGGUCCCAGUCUAGCAUUAGAACCACUUCUAGGAACGUUUCUUGCUGAGUCAGCUUGUCAUAUACAUCUUGAUCUACAUUUUGAACCUACUUUUGAGGUGAAAAGCUAAGCUAGGGCAUGGUUCUGGUCCCAGUCUAGCAUUGGAACCACUUCUAGGAACGUUUCUUCCUGAGUCAGCCUGUCAUACAAAUCCUGGUCUAUAUUUUGAACCUUACUUUUGAGGUGAAAAGUGAAAGGCAAUGGAAGGGUGCCGCGGACAAAAAGCGUCAAGAGGCAGGGCAAAGAAGGCAAAAGUUCCUUUAUUAAGUUCUCGGGCGAGGUUCACUGGUCCGCAGGGGAGGGCCAGAGAAGUCGCACUGUGUUGGAGGUGCAGCACGCUUAUAUGGACACUAGGUGAGGUAGGGGCAGAGUCGGGGUGGGUCAAGGGCGGAAUUAGUUAGGUUUCGUUUUCCUGAGUGUGACACGCCUUAGUGGGCACACAUGCUAGCCCGGAUGGCGGGAACCGGGGGAAGAUGAACCCGGAAAUGCUGAGUCAGGGUGGCCAAGAUGGUUGCCUGUCGCCAUCUUGGGGCCUUCACCGGAGUCCAAACAAAAAGCUAAGCUAGGGCCUGGUUCUGCUCCCAGUCUAGCAUUGGAACCACUUCUAGGAACGUUUCUUGCUGAGUCAGCUUGUCAUACAGAUCCUGGUCUACAUUUUGAACCUUACUUUUGAGGUGAAAAGCUGAGGUAGGGCCUGGCUCUGGUCCCAGUCUAGCAUUGGAACCACUUCUAGGAAUGUUUCUUGCUGAGUCAGCUUGUCGUACAGAUCCUGAUCUACAUUUUGAACCUUACUUUUGAGGUGAAAAGUGAAAGGCAAUGGAAGAGUGCCUCGGACAAAAAGGGUCGAGAGGCAGGGCAAAGAAGGCAAAGUUUCCUUUAUUAAGCCCUCGGGCAAGGUUCACUUGUCCGCAGGGGAGGGCCAGGGAAGUCGCACUGUGUUGUAGUUGCAGCACGCUUAUAUGGACACUAGGUGAUGUAGGGGCGGAGUCGGGGUGGGGCAAGGGCGGCGUUAGUUAGGUUUCGUUUUCCUGAGAGUGACGCGCCUUAGUGGGCACGCGUGCUAGCCGGGAUGGCGGGAAUGGGGGGAAGAUGAACCCGGAAAUGCUGAGUCAGGGUGGCCAAGAUGGUUGCCUGUCGCCAUCUUGGGGCCUUCACCGGAGUCCAAACAAAAAGCUAAGCUAGGGCCUGGUUCUGCUCCCAGUCUAGCUUUGGAACCACUUCUAGGAACGUUUCUUGCUGAGUCAGCUUGUCAUACAGAUCCUGGUCUACAUUUUGAACUUUACUUUUGAGGGGAAAACCUAAGCUAGGGCCUGGUUCUGGUCCCGUUCUAGCAUUGGAACCACUUCUAGGAACGUUUCUUGCUGAGUCAGCUUGUCAUACAGAUCCUGAUCUACAUUUUGAACCUACUUUUGAGGUGAAAAGCUUAGCUAGGACCUGGUUCUGGUCCCAGUCUAGCGUUGGAACCACUUCUAGGAACGUUUCUUGCUGAGUCAGCUUGUCAUACAGAUCCUGGUCCACAUUUUGAACCUUACUUUUGAGGUGAAAAGUGAAAGGCAAUGGAAGGGUGCCGCGGACAAAAAGGGUCGAGAGGCAGGGCAAAGAAGGCAAAAGUUCCUUUAUUAAGCUCUCGGGCGAGGUUCACUGGUCCGCAGGGUAGGGCCAGGGAAGUCGCACUGUGUUGGAGGUGCAGCUCGCUUAUAUGGACACUAGGUGAGGUGAGGGCGGAGUCGGGGUGGGGCAAGGGCGGAGUUAGUUAGGUUUCCUUUUCCUGAGUGUGACGCGCCUUAGUGGGCACACGUGCUAGCCGGGAUGGUGGGAACGGGGGGAAGAUGAACCCAGAAAUGCUGAGUCAGGGUGGCCAAGAUGGUUGCCUGUCGCCAUCUUGGGGCCUUCACCAGAGUCCAAACAAAAAGCUAAGCUAGGGCCUGGUUCUGCUCCCAGUCUAGCAUUGGAACCACUUCUAGGAACGUUUCUUGCUGAGUCAGCUUGUCAUACAGAUCCUGGUCUACAUUUUGAACCUUACUUUUGAGGUGAAAAGCUCAGCUAGGUCCUGGCUCUGGUCCCAGUCUAGCAUUGGAACCACUUCUAGGAACGUUUCUUGCUGAGUCAGCUUGUCAUACAGAUUCUGGUCUACAUUUAGAACCUUGCUUUUGAGGUGAAAAGUGAAAGGCAAUGGAAGGGUUCCAUAGACAAAAAGGGUCGAGAGGCAGGGCAAAGAAUGCAAAAGUUCCUUUAUUAAGCUCUUGGACGAGGUUCACUGGUCCGCAGGGGAGGGCCGGGGAAGUCGCACUGUGUUGGAGGUGCAGCAGGCUUAUAUGGACACUAGGUGAGUUAGGGGCGGAUUCGGGGUGGGGCAAGGGCGGAGUUAGUUAGGUUUUAUUUUCCUGAGUGUGACACGCCUUAGCGGGCUCACGUUCUUGCCGGGAUGGCGGGAACGGGGGGAAGAUGAACCCGCUAAUGCUGAGUCAGGGUGGCCAAGAUGGUUGCCUGUCGCCAUCUUGGGGCCUUCACCGGAGUCCAAACAAAAAGCUAAGCUAGGGCCUGGUUCUGGUCCCUGUCUAGCAUUGGAACCACUUCUAGGAACGUUUCUUGCUGAGUCAGCUUGUCAUACAGAUCCUGGUCUACAUUUUCAACCUACUUUUGAGGUGAAAAGCUAAGCUAGGGCCUGGUUCUGGUCCUAGUCUUGCAUUGGAACCACUUCUAGGAACGUUUCUUGCUGAGUCAGCUUGUCAUACAGAUCCUGAUGUGCAGCAGCAAAUUGCUCUGGCUCCGGGGGCAGGUCUCCAGCUGAAUGUGUGCCUACGAAUGGAAUCAAAGUCUCAUCAAAAUCUCAGUCAGUUCCUGAGGCAGAAGAGAUGGGUGUGUCUUAUCCAAGAUUUCUCUGGCUCCAGGGGCAGGUCUCCAGCUGAAUCUGUGCCUACAAAUGGAAUCAAAGUCUCAUCAAAGUCUCAGUCAGUUCCUGAGGCAGAAGAGAUGGGUGUGUCUUAUCCAAGAUUUCUCUGGCUCCAGGGGCAGGUCUCCAGCUGAAUCUGUGCCUACGAAUGCAAUCAAAGUCUCAUCAAAGUCUCAGUUCCUGAGGCAGAAGAGAUGGGUGUGUCUUAUCCAAGAUUUCUCUGGCUCCAGGGGCAGGUCUCCAAUGCAAACAAAGUCUCAUCAAAGUCUCAGUUCCUGAGGCAGAAGAGAUGGGUGUGUCUUAUCCAAGAUUUCUCUGGCUCCAGGGGCAGGUCUCCAGCUGAAUCUGUGCCUACAAAUGGAAUCAAAGUCUCAUCAAAGUCUCAGUCAGUUCCUGAGGCAGAAGAGGUGGGUGUGUCUUAUCCAAGAUUUCUCUUAUGGAACAAAGUUACAUCAAAGCCAAUUUAAAAGCCUAUGUAAAAAAAAUUAUUAUUAUUGAUGCAAUGUAUACAAAUAUAUAGACCAAUAUAAUAAGUUUACUAUUCCUACCAUGAUUUGUCUUUAGUAAAAUGGGAAACUGGAGAAAAACUUAUGUUUCCAAAUGAUUAUAUAUCUGUGUUAGAUUCUAGUCUUGCCUAAUUUUUUUUCAAUUUGGAUUACUUUCUACAGUUUGGACCAAAUUCUAAUUUUUUUUUAUUACAAGUCUCCAAAAUAAUUUUUAAAUUUUUUUUUCCUUCUUUUUUCCAUUUUUCCUAAUUUGGAGUCACUGAAAACUAAGCUGUGCUUUCUUAAAAUCCUGUGAACUGAAGCCAGACAACUUAAACUUCAGAAGAAAAUAACAGCAACCUAUUUACAUACAUAAACCACUUUCAUACCUGCCUACUGAUGCAUAGACUUCAGAGUAAUGAGGCCUAUAUCAAAUGUUUCCCGGAUUGUUCUUUUGUUUGUUGUUGUUUUCUCUCUCUUCCUCCCACUAUUUUCUCUUCGCAGGACAUGAGACUUAACAACCUGCUAAAAAUGAGCUUUUGGGACCUACCCAUCAAGGAAUAAACUGUCCUCGCCAUGAGAGAUCAAAUGAAACCUGAGACCAGAGACUCAUUUUCUUGUAAAAUGCUUUCUCCAACAGAUUUUUAAAAAGAAAAGGGGGGAAAUGUGAAAGGAAAAUAUCUGUGGUCCCCAAAAUCACGAAGGAAAACUCAAGCCGGGAACUGCUUAGGGCAAACCUGCCUCCCAUUCUAUUCAAAGUCACUCCUUUGCCCAAUCAGAUAGAUGCUUAUCUGAUUUGCCUCCUUUGGAAAGGCUGAUCAGAAACUCAAAAGAAUGGAACCAUUUGUGUAACAGCCAUCUGUGACCUGGAAGCUUCCUUCCCACUUCAGUCUUCCUGCCUUUGCUUCAAGUUGUCCUGUCUUUCCAGAUGAAGCAAUGUACUUCUUAACAUAUAUUGACUGAUGUCUCAUGAUGUCUCCCUAAAUGUAUGAAACCAAGCUGUGCCUGACAACCUUGGACAUAUUUUGUCAAGACUUCCCUGAGGCUGUCAUUGGUGCAUCCUCAACCUUGGCAAAAUAAACUUUCUAAAUUAA